CUGCCAGACUGCACUUGUAAAUCCGAAACAUUGAACAACCGUGAAAAGUUCACUACUUGGGGAAUUAUUUGUUGAGUGACCACAAAAGCAAAGGGAACGGCUCAAUCUUUCCAUUUUGAUAAGUCCUUCUCUUCGUGCUGAGUUAACCAGAUCAAUACUAGAAAGAAGUAAAGCCACAAAUGACAGGGCCAUGCCAGCUAAGAGAUAACCCAGUUGGUCUAGUACUGCUGAGACACCCUCUAGAAAUAAGCUCGCGAGUAGAAAA
rnacentral:misc_RNA from 1 species